UACGGAAGGCAGCAGUGGGGAAUAUUGCACAAUGGGCGCAAGCCUGAUGCAGCCAUGCCGCGUGUAUGAAGAAGGCCUUCGGGUUGUAAAGUACUUUCAGUCGUGAGGAAGGUGUUAAGGUUAAUAACCUUAGCAAUUGACGUUAGCGACAGAAGAAGCACCGGCUAACUCCGUGCCAGCAGCCGCGGUAAUACGGAGGGUGUGAGCGUUAAUCGGAAUUACUGGGCGUAAAGGGCACGCAGGCGGUUAAUUAAGUUGGAUGUGAAAUCCCCGGGCUUAACCUGGGAAUGGCAUUCAAGACUGGUUAGCUAGAGUCUUGUAGAGGGGGUAGAAUUCCAUGUGUAGCGGUGAAAUGCGUAGAGAUGUGGAGGAAUACCGGUGGCGAAGGCGGCCCCUGGACAAAGACUGACGCUCAUGUGCGAAAGCGUGGGGAGCAAACAGGGAUUAGAUACC
rnacentral:rRNA from 1 species